rnacentral:rRNA from 1 species
AACAGGAUUAGAUACCCUGGUAGUCCGCGCCGUAAACGAUGAGUGCUAGGUGUUGGGGGGCUUCUGCCCUUCAGGGCCAGAGCUAACGCAUUAAGCACUCCGCCGGGGGAGUACGACCGCAAGGUUGAAACUCAAAGGAAUUGACGGGGGCCCGCACAAGCGGUGGAGCAUGUGGUUUAAUUCGAAGCUACGCGAAGAACCUUACCAGGUCUUGACAUCUUGCGCCAACCCUAGAGAUAGGGCGUUUCCUUCGGGAACGCAAUGACAGGUGGUGCAUGGUCGUCGUCAGCUCGUGUCGUGAGAUGUUGGGUUAAGUCCCGCAACGAGCGCAACCCUUGUUACUAGUUGCCAGCAUUAAGUUGGGCACUCUAGUGAGACUGCCGGUGACAAACCGGAGGAAGGUGGGGACGACGUCAGAUCAUCAUGCCCCUUAUGACCUGGGCUACACACGUGCUACAAUGGACGGUACAAUGAGUCGCGAACUCGCGAGGGCAAGCAAAUCUCUUAAAACCGUUCUCAGUUCGGACUGCAGGCUGCAACUCGCCUGCACGAAGUCAGAAUCGCUAGUAAUCGCGGAUCAGCAUGCCGCGGUGAAUACGUUCCCGGGCCUUGUACACACCGCCCGUCACACCAUGAGAGUUUGUAACACCCAAAGUCGGUGGGGUAACCUUUUAGGAGCCAGCCGCCUAAGGUGGGACAGAUGAUUAGGGUGAAGUCGUAACAAGGUAACC